AUGCAAACCGUAGGGCGGUUGAAACACGUUUCAGACUGCUUUAGGACUUGGGAAUGGCUGGGAAUGAUCCAGGAGGGUUCCAGGAAUAUGUUUGAGCCUUUGUUUGGGAUUAAAACCCACUGCAAUUUGAAAUUCAGGUUUUGGACUGGUAUAUGCAGUGGACAGCAGGAGGGUUUUGUGGAUUGUUUUAUGCAGGUUUUGUGGACAGGUCUGGAUAGGUUUUGGCAUGUUGUGCAGGUUGGACAGAAGCUUAGUUGUGUUGGGACAACAGGGUUGUUUACACGGUUUCGCUGUGUUUGGACAUGUUUAAAGAAACGGUAUGCAUUGCUAGAGUUAGUUUAUGGAUGCAACUUGAAGAUAUGA